rnacentral:lncRNA from 1 species
GCUGUCCAGGGGACCGCAGCCUUGGGGACUGCUAGUGGAGUGUCUCGACCUGUCCUCCGGCUGUGUGGGCGAUCGCAGCCGCCGAGCCCAGGCACUGCUAUGGGACUGCAAAGGUGGGGCGGCGGCACAUCGGCUAGCGUCGCCAGACAUGUGCAACCGGACCUGGCUGGUGCUCCGCAUUUGCCUUCCGGCUUGAGGGACGUUACUCAGAAUGCUUUCUUUUUGCCGUUUAUUGGGCGUCUGACUUGGUGAGCACCAGUCAUCUCAGCCUUUCUGAGGUGUUGGUGAGAGUCAGUCAUACCAUGCUGAAGGCAUACUGAGGAGAAAAGUAGGCGAAAUCAAUCCCUACUUAAACACUAGCUCCCAAGGAGAACCUUUUUGGUUGGUUUGUGGGGUGCUCUCUUCCUUUUAUAUCAGCCUGACCCGAGAAAACACGUGUAGUUCAAGCUGGCCUCACACUUGGGAUCUUGGUGCAUCAGCCUUCGCAGACCCAGCCCUGCACUACGCGUGAGACGUGGUCGCAUUUUCUUACAAUGUCAAGGGUUUGUUGAAUAACAAUAAAUUCACACGUGAUUCGAGUACCAUCCUAAGUGCCAAACGUUAGCUUUUCCUUCUUGAAUCAGUUUUCAUUCGCCACCCCCAACCCCCUGAAAAUCCCAAGCUUCUCCGUACUAGUCGGGAGAUGUGUGUUAGACCAGAGCUGUGUGCUGCUUUGGAUGAAUAUCGUUCUUGGCUCUUCCUAAAGAUAGCACAAGAUAAUUUGGCUCUGGACCUGCAACUUCUAGACCUUUGUUUGGCUCUCCAUCUGAACUCACCUGAGCUCUUCAUUUCUUGUGAUUGUCAAUGAAAUAAUUCAGAUGAGGCACACAAGAGAGCACUGUUGAAGAUAAAUGGGCUUUAGUACUGGAAAGUGAAGGAACCCAAAGGAGAGAGAAACAAUGGCCAAAAAGACUGUUGGCAUAAAAGCCUGCUCACAAGGAGCAAGAAUGGGGCUGGAGAGAUGGCUCAGCGGUUAAGAGCACCAACUGUUCUUCCAGAGCUCCUGAGUUUAAUUCCCAGCAACCACAUGGUGGCUCACAACCAUCUAUAAUGGGAUCUGAUGUCCUCUUGUGUGUAUGAAGAGAGCAGUGGUGUACUCAUACACAUAAAUUAAAAACAAGGGGCAAAAAUAGACACAGGCCAAGGAGAUUCAUGGUGCCAGCCUAUAUCCUUAGAAAGGGUUUAAAACUCAAAUGUCUCUAGAACAAACAGUUGGUUUGGUUUUGAUGGGUUGUUGUGUGUGUGUGUGUGUUUUGUGGGUUUUUUGUUUCUCCUCAGGUGACUGACAGGCCCACUUGGAGUAGCUUUGGGAAGGGGGAGGUGCAUUGUGUUGACACCAGGCAUAGUUGUGCACACCUUUAAUCCCAGCACUCAGGAGAAAAAGGCAGGGGGGCCUCUGUUGUGUUCAAAGCCAGCCUGAUCUACACACUUCCAGGAUCCUGUGUGCUGGCUUGUUUUAUGGCACCUUGACACGAGAUAGCCAUCAGAAGAAGGGAUGAUGCAACUCAGAAAAUGCCUGCAGAAGAUCUGGCUGGGGGGGGGGGGGCAUGUAAGGCGUUUUCUUAAUUAGUGACUGACUGGAGAGGGCCCAGUCUAUUGUGGGUGGGGAUCUCUCUGGGCUGGUGAUGCUGGGUUCUAUAAAAAACAAAACAGACUGAACAAGCCAUGGAAAGCAAGCCCGUAAGCAGCACCCUUCCAUGGCCUCUGCAUCAGCACCUUCUUUGAGUUCCUGUCCUAACUUCCUUCAGUGAUAGACUUUACUGUGAAUGUGUGAGCCAAAUAAAUGCUUUCCUCC